rnacentral:misc_RNA from 1 species
UGGAGACAUAGCUGGGGAGUCCAGUAGACCUCAGAAUGGGUGAUUAGUCAGAUUUGCGCAGAGUCCAGAGUCACCUCAUAUCUGCAGUGCACUUAGUAGGAUAUUAAGAUUUUGGGUUAUAUUUUGUACUUUGCAUUUUGUACUAGUUUUGAUUGUAAUUACAAACUCAUGAAAUCAUAUGAUAAUGUAAAUAUAUGAAAUUACAUGUUACUGUAAUUAUCAACACAUUUUGUUGAAAAAUAAAAUGUUGGGGAGUUA